rnacentral:misc_RNA from 1 species
GGCUUUCAUAAAUUGUUGCGAACUGAGACGUUUUCUAGCUGAAUUGGUGCAAUUCACCUCCCUUUAAGAUAUUUAGUUUUUAAACUUUUUAAGUAUAUGAAUUCUACGUAAUUUGUGCUUCUCAAUCAGUUUAUAUGUAAAUCUGCUGUGCUAAUUGCGGUUAUAUGACCCAAUUACUGUUUCCAAUUUCAGAUAUUUAUGCAUUUAAGUCUUUUAGACAAGAUAAAAGCACUUCCUUUUAGGAGGUUGACCUUUUGAGAGUUUAUUUGUUUGACUAAACUUUGGGUGCUUCUUUCUCCUGGCGAAUUGUGAUCUCUCAAUUUUGGCAAUAAGGUUUAGUUAUAUGUAAAGUUAAAUACUGCUAUUAAACAAUCAUUGUCCUGUAUGUGUGCCAAUCAUAAUGUUGAGAUACUGAAUUCGAGUCUUGCUAAAACUGAAACAUCCCACAUAAUUACAGCUACAGGGAAGCAUCAAACUUUGUUGAAGUUGAAAAAUAUGAUAAAUAGUUGGUGAUUAACAGAUUUUUCUGCAAGGUAUGCAUGUUUGGUUUGCAAGCCUCCAUGAUGCAAACCUUUCUUAUUGUAUUCUAAAGUCACUUUUAAGAUUUAAAUGGGUAUGGUUAUGAUGCAUAAGCUACUAGAUCUAAUUCAAACAUUAGUAUCAGCUUUUGUGUGAUGACCUCAUAUUGAUGUUAAAACUGCAAAUGCUCAAACUCUCUCUAUAUAUGUGCCUAGGGAUGUUUAGUAGUUACCUUUUCUCCCUUGCUUUAACUGUGCAACCCAUAUACUGGCAUCAGGGUUUUUAUUGUUUAGUGCACUUUGCCAAGUCCUCAUCAGUUUUCAUGUUUUCAGUGAAGCUUUUAUGAUGUUUUUACCAACCCGUAUUAUGCUCAAGUCCCACAUCUACUAUUAUUUCUUAGAUACUUGCAUUCGUGACAUCUAAUGGUAUGGUAUGAGUAAUAGAAGAAACUUUGAUGUCCUUGUUUGGAUAGGGUGUAAUAUCCAAACUGUCAUUAAUUUCUUUGGUGCAUUAGUGGUCAUUCCAUUUCUUGCUCAAGUGGAAUGCCAUUUUUCAUGUGAGAGGAAG